CCUUCGAUAGCUCAGUUGGUAGAGCGGUGGACUGGAGAAGUUGUGAUGGUUAUCCAUAGGUCGCUGGUUCGAAUCCGGCUCGAAGGA
rnacentral:tRNA from 1 species